rnacentral:rRNA from 1 species
GACAGAGGGGGCAAGCGUUGUUCGGAUUCAUUGGGCGUAAAGGGUGCGUAGGCGGCGCGGUAAGUCGGGUGUGAAAUCUCGGAGCUUAACUCCGAAACUGCAUUCGAUACUGCCGUGCUUGAGGACUGGAGAGGAGACUGGAAUUUACGGUGUAGCGGUGAAAUGCGUAGAUAUCGUAAGGAAGACCAGUGGCGAAGGCGGGUCUCUGGACAGUUCCUGACGCUGAGGCACGAAGGUCAGGGGAGCAAACGGG